GCAGCUCAGUGGCAGCGCUUGCCUAGCAGCACAGGGUUCUGGGUUCCUCCCCAGCACCGCGGGGGUGAUGGGGUAGGUUGUCCAGGACCAGGACUGGAUUGAGGAAAGGAAGGAAAGGCCCGUCCGCAUCCCAGUAUUGAGGCAGACUAUAAAAAGACUCCCUGACCCCUGAGCUAAGCAAGUCUUGGGGGAGAGAGGGCCAGGUGAGUCAGGAGGAAGGCAGAACAAUCCGCAGCACACACCCCGAAAGCACCAAUGAUGAAACCACACAAGUUUCCUCUUCCAUUUUGAUUGCUACAGCGAAAAUGAGCCACACCGCUCUCUCAGGUGUGAAAAAAAAGACUGUUUGCUUUAGAACAUUUUGCUCUGAAUGAGAAAGAAAAGGAGGACACAGAAAAAAAAAUUCUAAAACAAAUCCAUCAACGUUAAUAUUUGUGUGUGUGCGUGUGUUCGUUCCUGGAGGUUUUUGACAAGCAGCCAUAUCAAGUUGAUAAGGCAGCCAUAUCAAGUUGAAGAGUAUCUUCUCUGACGCAGAAUACCUGGAGUUUGAAUCCAAGCCUUGGUGCUUAUUACCUCUGCUCCCUGGGCCAACUCCUUAAAUGUCUCACAGCCUCAGUUUCUACAUCUGGGUCGUUAUGAAUCAUCAUUUGCAAAGCGUUUAGAUUGCUGUUGAACGUGAUAGGGCUAUAUAAGUGUUUUUUUAAUUAUUGUUUUUAGUGUGGAAAGGAGCACAACUCCUUUUGAGGAUUCAUAUUGGAAACCACCAGUUCUAGUUGAAUUUGCUGGGAGCAGCUUAUCCAACAAAACCAGCUGUAACUGAAGAUUUCUAGUAUGAGCGGUGAGGUGAAAGUUUCGGAUUUCAUGGUAUGGUUCCUAUUAAAAUCCAUAAAACUCUGCUCCCUGUGGGGCCUGCCUGAAUCACUCUUUCACAGAGCCACAAAUAUUUUCUGAGCACUACUG
rnacentral:lncRNA from 1 species